rnacentral:rRNA from 1 species
CCUACGGGUGGCAGCAGUAGGGAAUUUUGCGCAAUGGGCGAAAGCCUGACGCAGCAACGCCGCGUGAUUGAUUAAGCCCUUCGGGGUGUAAAGAUCUGUCAGUGGGGACGAAACUUGACGGUACCCACAGAGGAAGCACCGGCUAACUCCGUGCCAGCAGCCGCGGUAAUACGGAGGGUGCAAGCGUUGUCCGGAAUCAUUGGGCGUAAAGGGUUCGUAGGUGGCAUAGUAAGUCUGGUGUUAAAUGCAGAGGCUCAACUUCUGUUCGGCACUUGAAACUGGUAAGCUUGAAUGCGGGAGAGGUAGAGGGAAUUCCUGGUGUAGCGGUGAAAUGCGUAGAUAUCAGGAGGAACACCGGUGGCGAAGGCGCUUUGCUGGGCCGUAAUUGACGCUGAGGAACGAAAGCCGGGGGAGCAAAUAGGAUUAGAUACCCCGGUAGUC